GCAGGCAUCAAUUUGAAUUCUCAAUUACAUGGUACCAAAUGUUUUUUUUAUUAGUGCACAAGUUUCAAUAAAGAAAGGAUGACUAAAUAUGUGUAUUAGAAUUAAGAAAAACUCAUUUCCCUUAUUUUUCCUAAGCUGUCGACUUCUCUUCCCCAAGAACAGAACCAUCUUUUUCUUCUUUCAAAUUUAAUUCCGUAAGAGAAAUUCAAGUAGUAGCUGCAAUACCUUAAAAGAAAAGGUUCAAGUGGCUUUAUAAAGUAAACAAGCAAGGAUCUCUACUUCAUUAAGCAUACCAGGUUGAGCAAUGGCUGAUGAAGAUGAAGUGAUGAGCGGAGCUUUUGUCAUAAGUUUAAUAAAUGGACUCUUGGAUACAUGUCUUCAUACAUGUAAUCAGAUUAUGUUAUUCCGCUGCAUACUCUCAAGUAAUAUGUCUUUAAGCUAAGUCGGGUUCAUCCGAACUUACGAGUUAAUCGAGUCCUUGCGACUAAACAACAGUUAUCUUAUGAUUGUCCCUCCUUAACAA